rnacentral:rRNA from 1 species
AACAACUCUCGGCAACGGAUAUCUCGGCUCUCGCAUCGAUGAAGAACGCAGCAAAAUGCGAUGCUUGGUGUGAAUUGCAGAAUCCCGUGAAUCAUCGAGUUUUUGAACGCAAGUUGCGCCCGAAGCCUUCCGGUCAAGGGCACGUCUGCCUGGGUGUCACGC